AGUCCCGUUUGGACUGCGUUCGACCGAAACACGGCUGCGUGGUAAACUAACAAGGCUGGAAAGUGACUUUGGAAAGAUUUACUCAACUGCCGCGCCACCACAGCAGCCACGGUUUGGAGGCUAUCAGAAGAAGAUCUGGGUGGUUGCACUGACGGUUCCAGGGCGCGACGUGCCGCUACGACCAAGGUGUGGCCGAGCAAACGUGCUCAGGAGUCUUCAUCAGUCAGAGUCACUGCUGCAGGAGCUGCUGGAGGACUACACAGAGGGAUGAACACAACAGAUAGACGUCAGUGAAUCACUUUAGUCCUCUAAAACUGAUGUAAAGCUCAGAUUACAACUGCUUUAUCUACAUUAAAUUGGAGAAUAGAAAAAUCAUAGGCUAUCAUUCAUUUUUUGAUCAGAAAAUUGAAAUAAUUUGCCAGUAUUUGACCAAUAAUACAGCAUUUCUGUGAUUCCCUGUGAGUUGCUGGUUGUAUUGUACUGAAAUAUUUUUUUUUAUGUUCAGUAUUUCACUGUCUGAAUUCAGAAUAAAAAUGAAUUUCUGAAGCAAAUAAAACCAAUCUUACCCCGUGACAGUCCUUUCCGUUCUUGUGACAC